UCCUACGGGGCGCAGCAGUGAGGAAUAUUGGUCAAUGGUCGGGAGACUGAACCAGCCAAGCCGCGUGAGGGAUGAAGGUACAGAGUAUCGUAAACCUCUUUUGUCAGGGAACAAAGGCGGGGACGUGUCCCCGGAUGAGUGUACCUGAAGAAAAAGCAUCGGCUAACUCCGUGCCAGCAGCCGCGGUAAUACGGAGGAUGCGAGCGUUAUCCGGAUUUAUUGGGUUUAAAGGGUGCGCAGGCGGUCUGUUAAGUCAGCGGUCAAAUCCCGGGGCUCAACCCCGGCCCGCCGUUGCAACUGGCAGG
rnacentral:rRNA from 1 species